UGCAGUCACUGCCAGUCCCCAUGGUCCCCUGCACCUGGACUGCUGAGCACAGCUGGGGACUGGGAUGGGAACCCCUCCGCCAAAAUCCAGGCCAACAUCCCUACUUGUCCCCCUGAUGCCAGCAGAACAGGCCCAGGUGGGCUUGAGGCAUCCUGUCACCCUCUCGCCUUCCAGAGUGACCCACUGCCCCUCUGUCUCCCCAUCUCUGUACGCCUGUCUGCUCGCGUCCAUCACUCCGUCUCAUCCUCUCCCCACCUCUGCGCAUCUUGUCCCCCUCUGGGCCCCACCUUGUGGACGGCCUUCCUCAGGAUGUCCUUGUACUCCUCCUUGGUGAUGUCCUUCUUCUGAUAAUACGGCUUGAUGGCCAGCUUCACCUCCUCUACUGCCCGCUCCUGCGUGUGCAGCUUCUUCAGAUACUGGCGGGGGUGGCGACAGUGGGAAGAAGGGACAGCAAAGGCCAGGUGAGUUACUGCAGAACCCCUACCUCCACUCACCUGCCCACCAGCUCAGACUUCUUGACCAUCCAGCUACUCCCAGAGGUGGAAAUCCUGCUUAGGGUCUGCCCUGUUCUCCCCUUGCUACAGUCGCCCCAGACCCCAGGCCAGGCCUGGGCCUCUCAAUGUCACUAGCAUCUCCUCCAGGCUGGACCCUGGGCUGUCCCAGGAGUCCAUGACCAGGACCCAUGUGUCCCCUGCCCUUACAGUCUGGUAGGGAGACAGACCUGAGCCAGGCGGCUGUUCCCUACCAUCCCAGAGAAGAUGGGGGCAGGUAAACUGAGGCCUGGGAAGGGCAGGACACCCCAGCCUUCAGGGCCAACAUCUCCCAUGAAACACGAAUGCCAACUGUUGGGUGAGCUGCUGGGGGAGCCACGGCCACCCCAGGGGGACUCUUCAGGCCUCCCUAGCCCCACAGGAGUGGGUUUCUAAAUAUGCGGCCAAGAGAAAGGGAUUGUGUCCUGCACCCGUCUCAUAUGUGGAGAGAGAGGACGUUGGCAGAGAACAGACAGGGCAGCCUCACUGGCGGAACAGGGACCUGCUGCUCGUCUCAGGGCCUGUACUGUCCCUGUCCCGCAGCCCAUGGCACAGGCCAUGGACAAGUACACAUCAAAGCUGUGGCCCCACCUCCGUUUAUACGGGGCUUAUAACACGGGGGUUUGUUCUGCUUUCCUUCUGGCUCUGUAUGUGGGGUGCGAAAAGGGUGAGCAGCGCCAUCAUCUGGUGACAGGGCCAUAGCGACCAGCAACCAGACCCACCCAAUAGGUACACAGCCCCAAGGCCCAGGAGGAGGAGCCAGAUGUAGUGGGGGGAGGGGGGGCCUGUUUGCCCUGCACCCAUUCUUCCUCCCUCCGUCCAGGAACAGAUGCUUGAUUUUUUGUUUGUAAACCAUCCCGAGCCCCCCUUACACAAAAAGAUCGGGGUGAGAGAGGUAUAGAUGACCAAAGAGUAGACUGUAGUAGAUAUAUGUAUAAACAUGCGUGUGUUUAUAUCCAUAUCUCUUUCUUUCUCUCCCUACCUCCAUCCCAUCUCUAUACGAAAUUCUUUAAAAACCUGUCUAGCACCGCUUUCCCAAUCAUCUAAUCAAGUGAAAGUUUAGUUCCUUACAAUUUAGUGAUUUCAGUUUUAUCUAAGUCCUCAUCUGCUGGCAUCAGUCUCUGGCAUUCUCCUCGGGCCCCUGCAUCUCAGUAUCUGCCUGCGUUCUCUGCAAAACUGUCACCACUAACCCACCUCUCCCAAGCCCAGUUCACCUUGUCUGUGUCACCACGUCCCUCGGAGCUGCUGCUGCCCUCUCUCUUGUCAGACGCUGCAGCCAGCCCAGUGGGGGUGGGAGGGGUAGAGCCACAGCCCCCCAGGGGGAGGCUGCCAGGGAGCAGGUAGCUGGAGGGGCCAGGGGGCAGACCCAGAGAGGUGGGCACAGGAGCUGGCGUCACCCCCAGACUUGAGGGGGGCUUCCUGUGGCUGAGGAUCUGUGGGAAAAGGUUGGAGGAUAAGCAAAGGGAGGUGGAGGGGAGGACGGAACAUGUACCCCUAUUCCCACCCUGAUUUCCCAACAGUCCCAGAGGCAACAGGCUCCUCUUCUGGCAGAUACCUUGCCCCAAAGCCUGCUGGGAGCUGAAGUUCCUCUCCUAACCCGAAACAGGGGACAAGAGAAGGGGCUGCGGGGACUCUUCCCCAAGGAAGCCCACCUGGUUGGUGGCCUGGAUCAGCUCCUGGGCCUUUGCUCGGCUUGCCAGAUUGGCUUCUUCCAUCUUGAAGAGAAGUGCAGUCACUGCAGUAGGUGGAGAGUGGACGACAAGGAUCGGGAGUUGACGCAAGAGGGUGACCCUCACCCAGCCACGUGCCACCUCCCGCCCCGGGCCCCCAGACAGGCUAUAAGGUCUCAGGCUCAUAACUGGGAAAAGGGGCCUCAGCCACCAAGAGAACCAGCCCCCACCCUGUAUGUUCUUAGGACUCGAGGAGGCCUAACGUGAGGCUGAGAAGGUGAAACUCCCUCUCCAGAGUCAGAAAGUGGCAGAGCUGGUGAGCCCUGAGAGCCCGAGUCCUCACCGUGCCCCCGCCACUCGGUGAUGAGCCCCAUCCCAGGGGCGACAUCUGCUUGGGACUCAGACAUCACUGACCGGGCCAGGCAUCGUGCUGUCCUCCGUUAUUUUGUCCGCCCUCCCGAGACCUUGCUUUCGAAGCACUCCACGGUCUCAGCACCACAAGUCACACAUGUGGAGACAACUGAUCGAGGCUGCCCCCGGGGCGGAUGACGGGGCCAGGAUUCAGACACACACAUCAGAGUCUGGAGGCCACUCUCUCAACCACAUGUAACUGCCAGGAUCCUGCCCCAGCAAGGACGCCGGCAUGGUCACAUGAACAAUGCCAGGGAAGCCCGGGGCUAAGAAGGCAGCACCGGAGCCACCUCCCCACCCGGAUCCCAGGCUCCAGCCCUCUCCCGCAAUAUGCCCGAGGGCAAGCAACUCAACUGCUGUCUGCCUUGGUUUCCUCAUCUAUAAAAGGGGAGUUUGCUCAUUCAUUCAACACAUUUUUUCUGAUCAUCAAUCUGACAGACGCGGCUUGGGGUAUAGAACAGAACCGCAAACAAGAGACAAAAAUCCCUGCCUUCAAGGACUUGCUGAGCACGAACUCUGACUACCCGGGCUGUUAUUACCACCACCUGAGGCAAAAACCACGUCUGCAGAUCGUAGCAGUCUGCAAACUCGAGACAUCCGCUUCCUUAUAAAUAGUUUUUUUUAAAGGAC